GAUGAACGCUAGCUACAGGCUUAACACAUGCAAGUCGAGGGGAAACGAUAUUGGAAGCUUGCUUCCGAUAGGCGUCGACCGGCGCACGGGUGAGUAACGCGUAUCCAACCUGCCCACCACUUGGGGAUAACCUUGCGAAAGUAAGACUAAUACCCAAUGACGUCUCUAGAAGACAUCUGAAGGAGGUUAAAGAUUUAUCGGUGAUGGAUGGGGUUGCGGCUGAUUAGCUUGUUGGCGGGGUAACGGCCAACCAAGGCGACGACCAGUAGGGGUUCUGAGAGGAAGGGCCGCCACAUUGGAACUGAGACACGGUCCAAACUCCUACGGGAGGCAGCAGUGAGGAAUAUUAGUCAAUGGGCGAGAGCCUGAACCAGCCAAGUAGCGUGCAGGAUGACGGCCCUAUGGGUUGUAAACUGCUUUUAUAAGGGAAUAAAGUGAGUCUCGUGAGACUUUUUGCAUGUACCUUAUGAAUAAGGACCGGCUAAUUCCGUGCCAGCAGCCGCCGCCG
rnacentral:rRNA from 1 species